GUGACUCUGAUUGCAUUUUAGUCGUUAACUGUUGUACCUAUCACUUCUUUUUGAUGAUCAGUUGCGCACCUGCUAAGUAAGAAUACCAGGCGUGGGAUGUGCAGAUAAAUUAUUUCCUGAGACUAAUAUUUUCAUUUGGUCUAUUGAAACAUAGGGCGUUUUCUAGGUAUUAUGGAAGAUAGAAGACCAGACUUGUCUCUUCAAUCAUAAAUCAUGUCAGGUACCGGCCAUUUAUGAUGAAACACGUUGCCUAGCUCGCGAUGAUUGGCGUAAAUGAUCACAAUAGCUUUUCAAGAAUAUGUAAGAAAGAGAAAGGAAUUAAAGGGGUUAUAUUAUAUGCCUCACCUAGUGGUUGCUCCUUUUGCAACUUGACGAACUAAAUCCGAUCCUGAUGUCAGUUGUAGGAGGGAAAUGCAGAGACAAAGAGGCAGAAAUCUUCUUAUUUUGGUUCAAAUCAUGUUCAUCUUCUGCAUUUGUGACAGCCGCCGCUAAAGCUUACUCAGUUUUACGUCAACAGAUGAUUCGAUCUCAAAUAUGAAGUUGUGUGACUACAUUAUUCCAGAGCAAUCAAGUUUCUAUGUGUCUUUGAGACUUUGAGUUGGUUUAAGAAGCAAUCUGUGUAAAUUGUAACCAAUGUCCAUAGACAUUUUAACCACUAAGCAUAAGGGUCACCAAUUUAUGGACGCUUCAGAAUAUAAGCAUUGGGGCCAUCAAUUGACUUACUCUUAGCUGCCAUCUCUUGUGAAUCCUCGUAAUAAUGUUAUGGAACAGACGGUUUUUUUUUCGGCUACUUGAGUAGUAUAGGCCUUGAUAGCUCUACUAAGCUCUACUAUUCUCUGGACAUUUGAAAAUUUCCUUGGGAUGUAAUCAUUACUUUCCACUUAGGAAAUGUAGAAAAGUAUACAGUAUAAUGUAUAAGGAUGACCAAAUAAUUAAAGAUACCUUUUCACGGUGAGAAAGAUGACGAAAAAAAAAAAGUAGAGGAAAGAGAAUAUUCGUGGAAUAUACGACUCUUUCAGUCUUUUGAGUAAAAAAUUAAAGCAAUCAUUAUUUUGGAUCGGCGCAAGUGAAAUCGUGCAACCAACGUUCCCCAAUCAAGAAUAUGUAAAGCUUGAGCGGUCUGAGAGUGAUAGUUCCAUACAUUGGGUUUGAAGAUGAUAGAUAAUGCGCUAUAGUAAAUUUUUUUUGACAGGAAUGAAAAAUGAAAUCUGGUUUAGGGGGAAACCUUUAUAAUUUUAGUGAACAACACGGGAACUAACAUUUCGUUCCAGACAAAGACGACUUU